rnacentral:snRNA from 1 species
AUACUUACCUGGCAAGGGAGAGGGAGAGACCAUGGUCACAAAGGUAGUUUUCCCAGGGCUAGGCUUAUCCACUACACUCCAGUGAUAGUGCUGACCCCUGUGAUUUCCCCAAAUGUGGGAAACUCGACUGNNNNN